rnacentral:rRNA from 1 species
AUUGAACGCUGGCGGCAUGCUUUACACAUGCAAGUCGAACGGUAACAGGCCUUCGGGUGCUGACGAGUGGCGAACGGGUGAGUAAUGCAUCGGAACGUACCCAGAGGUGGGGGAUAACGCAGCGAAAGCUGUGCUAAUACCGCAUGUGAUCUGAGGAUGAAAGCGGGGGACCGAGCAGCAAUGUUUGGCCUCGCGCCUUUGGAGCGGCCGAUGUCGGAUUAGCUAGUGGGGGGGGUAAAGGCCUACCAGGGCGACGAUCCGCAGCUGGUCUGAGUGGACGGUCGGCCGCAUGGGGACGGAGACAGCGACAAGACGCCUGAGGGACGGAGCAGUGGGGAACUGGAGGCAGUGGGGGCGAAUCUGGCCCAGCGGGGGCGAGCGCGAGACGGAGGCGCUCGGGUUGGAAACCCGUUCUGGCAGGAACGAAACGGUUUCCGCUAAUACCGGGCGCGAGUGACGGUACCGGGAGAAUAAGCACCGGCUAACUACGUG